rnacentral:rRNA from 1 species
AGAACGAACGCUGGCGGCAGGCUUAACACAUGCAAGUCGAACGGUUGUAGCAAUACAGCAGUGGCAGACGGGUGAAUAACACGUGGGAACCUUCCUCGUAGUACGGAACAACUCAGGGAAACUUGAGCUAAUACCGUAUACGUCCGAGAGGAGAAAGAUUUAUCGCUAUGAGACGGGCCCGCGUCCGAUUAGCUAGUUGGUGGGGUAACGGCCUACCAAGGCAACGAUCGGUAGCUGAUCUGAGAGGAUGAUCAGCCACACUGGGACUGAGACACGGCCCAGACUCCUACGGGAGGCAGCAGUGGGGAAUCUUGGACAAUGGGCGCAAGCCUGAUCCAGCCAUGCCGCGUGAGUGAAGAAGGCCUUAGGGUUGUAAAGCUCUUUUGGCAGGGACGAUAAUGACGGUACCUGCAGAAUAAGCCCGGCAAACUUCGUGCCAGCAGCCGC